rnacentral:rRNA from 1 species
UACGAAGGGGGCGAGCGUUGUUCGGAAUUACUGGGCGUAAAGGGCGCGUAGGCGGCCCCUUUUGUCGCGUGUGAAAGCCCCGGGCUCAACCUGGGAGGUGCGCGCGAAACGGGGGGGCUUGAGUUCGGGAGAGGAGCGUGGAAUUCCCAGUGUAGAGGUGAAAUUCGUAGAUAUUCGCAAGAACACCAGUGGCGAAGGCGGCUCACUGGCCCGAUACUGACGCUGAGGUGCGAAAGCGUGGGGAGCAAACAGG